GGGAGUAGGGGUGGUGCAGUCAGAGCGCAGCCUGAUCCAGCCUGCCGCGUGAGUGAAGAAGCCUUCGGGUUGUAAAGCUCUUUCGGCCGUGAAGAAAUCGUGGUCUCUAACAUAGGACAUGGAUGACGGUACCGGACUAAGAAGCACCGGCUAACUACGUGCCAGCAGCCGCGGUAAUACGUAGGGUGCGAGCGUUAAUCGGAAUUACUGGGCGUAAAGCGUGCGCAGGCGGUUUUGUAAGACAGAUGUGAAAUCCCCGGGCUUAACCUGGGAACUGCGUUUGUGACUGCCAGGCUAGAGUACGGCAGAGGGGGGUGGAAUUCCUGGUGUAGCAGUGAAAUGCGUAGAGAUCAGGAGGAACACCGAUGGCGAAGGCAGCCCCCUGGGCCUGUACUGACGCUCAUGCACGAAAGCGUGGGGAGCAAACAGGAUUAGAUACCCUGGUAGUCCACGCCCUAAACGAUGUCCACUAGUCGUUCGGAGCAGCACUGCACUGAGUGACGCAACUCACGCGUGAAGUCGACCGGCGGGGGAGUACGGCCGCAUGGUUAAAACUCAAAUGAAUUGGCGGACGCGCGGGGGGCCAA
rnacentral:rRNA from 1 species